ACAUAACAAAUUUACUUAAAAUCAUAGGUCUUGUUUUUGUCUGCCACUAUAAGAACCAGAACAUAUUUCGGACAUUCGAGGAUUGACUUGCUGUGUUAGAGGAUCAUCAGGUGAUGGAAGAAACCAGGCUUUUUUCGACUCAAUGUUGAUGAAACCUGAUCGACAUGCUCAUCUUGGUUGAGUAAGCCUGGGUUGAGUGUUUCCAAAAAGUAGGUAACCUGGUGAAAUCUUAGGAAAACAUUGUAACCAGAUCCAGGUUUAUUUGACUGACAGACCGAUGGACAGUGGGUCAACCGUAAAUCCCUUCAUGUGAAAACGCUACUAUUCGGACAUGGACUGACGGACAAAUGGGCAACAAUGUCGCAAUUUGUAUACCAAGUUUUAUAAGAAUUGUUUCAUAAAAGUAACCAAUGUGUCUGUUCUAUGUCAAGGUAACUACUAGGAUGAAAUACACAAAAAGAUUUU